rfam:Caldicellulosiruptor owensensis OL, complete genome.
CGGGGCGUAGCUCAGUUUGGUUAGAGCGCUAGCUUGGGGUGCUAGAGGUUCGCUGGUUCAAGUCCAGUCGCCCCGA